UUGAUGCCUUUUCAGUUUGGUUGUGAAGGGAGCUCUGCUUAUCACAACAGGUGCACAGGCCACUCACAAAACCAGAAGCAGCCCAACAUUGAAAUGCUAAGAAAUUACUUGUUCUCUUUGUCAGCUGCUCACACAAGCAGUCUAAAGCCUACUUGGAAGGAGAUAUUGUGUCCUUGUAAAGGACAGAAGGUGGGAGGGGGGCAUGAAAGGUUAAGACUGAAAAGAAGCGAGAGAGAGGCGAGAGGAGGGGAAGGGUUGGCUGGCCAAACUCAAGAAGCUUGCUCCCAGAAGACAAAUGCAAUCCAGUAAAGGAAAAGAACAAGAGGACACGUCUGGCAGAAGCCUGGAACCUCCAUCCCCCAUCCUACCAGAAGAUACUGUACAACCGCAGGUCACCCAACAGUCUCCAUCCAUCUGCCACUGGCCCGCCUGUCGUCAAAUUUUAAAAUGCAAUGCGGCCCCUGUGUCUAACAGUUUGCCCAUGUCUGAUAUACAUACAUUAUAUAUAGUGUACAAUAUAAUAUAUAAACAUUUCUUGGAGCUCCACAAGAAACUUUUCCUUCAAAAAGGGCCCCACAGCUGAAAAAGUUUGAGAACCCUGGAACAGAAUGUUCAUUCUGCAUCUUAACUUUGGAGAGAGAGAGAGGCAAGUACAUCUACCAUUUGCAUUUUUAAGAAACGAGAAAACCAAGACUUCUUUGUUCAUCUGUAUGCUGUACAUUAUUACAAACUGGAUGGUGUACCCAACACACCAUGAAUCCUACAUGCAGUUUACAUCACAUCAUCUCAAAAGGCCUUUGGCCGAACUGGAAAAAUGUGCAGAGAAGUGAUCCGUCAUGGCUAAUCUUCCAUACAAAGAAAGGCUGGAAAGGUUAGGACUUGAGAUUAUAAAUAUCAUUUACUCAGAGAUAAAAUGAUACUAUGUAGGAUUUAAGUAAUGGAUCCAGCUCAAUGAUUUGUUUGUUUUUCACUCUGACUGUUAGGUAAGUUUAUGGUUCAGUGAAAUAAAACAGCAAUUUGUUUGCAAAGGUGUCAGGAAGCAUGAAUGUGUGUUAUUACUCCAUCUUGCACAUUUCACGGACUAAGUUUCUAACAUGUACUUCCAGAUCUUAAAAGUCUUGGCAUGAGGUUUUAUCAUGUGCUUCCCAUUAGCAUCAGAAGGGAGAGGGGGGAAAUCACAUGCUAAACCCUUCAACUAUUUUGGAAAAUGUUACUUCCUCAGUUCUGUUCUAGAAGUGAGGGAGGAGUAAAAAAUGGAACUUGAUUUUCAGUUUAAUAACUUUUAGUAUAUGAUCACUAUCUGCUUACAGCAUAUUUUGGCUUUGGCUUUUAAAUGUGGAAAGCAACCUGGAGAAUGGAGAUCAUUAGUGUGUAGACAGAAAAAAGAAAUGAAAAAAGACAUCUUCACUGCAGCACCCAAAAUCCUUGCUUACAUAAGUAAAUAAUAUAUGGCACCAUAUGAGACAUUUUUAAGAAACCUUUUUGGUGUGAGCUGAGCAACCUUUGAAUCACUUAAGGUGCCUAUUGCAAGCAAGGUGCCUGAUAUUUUUAGCACCAAAUC